UACGAAGGGGGCUAGCGUUGCUCGGAAUUAUUGGGCGUAAAGCGCACGUAGGCGGAUUGUUAAGUCUGGGGUGAAAUCCUGGGGCUCAACUCCAGAACUGCCUUCGAAACUGGCGAUCUUGAGUUCGGGAGAGGUGAGUGGAAUUGCGAGUGUAGAGGUGAAAUGCGUAGAGAUGCGCAGGAACACCAGUGGCGAAGGCGGCUCACUGGCCCGAUACUGACGCUGAGGUGCGAAAGCGUGGGGAGCAAACAGG
rnacentral:rRNA from 1 species